GAAUAUUGGACAAUGGGCGAAAGCCUGAUCCAGCCAUGCCGCGUGUGUGAAGAAGGUCUUCGGAUUGUAAAUCACUUUAAGAUUUGAGGAAGGGCAGCAAUCGAAUACCUUGCUGUUUUGACGUUACCGACAGCAUAAGCUUCGGCUAUGCUUGUGCCAGCAGCCGCGGUAAUACAGAGGGUGCAAGCGUUAAUCGGAAUUACUGGGCGUAAAGCGCGCGUAGGUGGUUCGUUAAGUUGGAUGUGAAAUCCCCGGGCUCAACCUGGGAACUGCAUCCAAAACUGGCGAGCUAGAGUAGGGCAGAGGGUGGUGGAAUUUCCUGUGUAGCGGUGAAAUGCGUAGAUAUAGGAAGGAACACCAGUGGCGAAGGCGACCACCUGGGCUCAUACUGACACUGAGGUGCGAAAGCGUGGGGAGCAAACAG
rnacentral:rRNA from 1 species